CAAUAGCGUAUAUUAAAGUUGUUGCGGUUAAAAAGCUCGUAGUUGGAUUUCUGCUGAGAACGACCGGUCCGCCCUUUGGGCGUGUAUCUGGCUCUUUCUUGGCAUCUUCUUGGUGAACGUUGCUGCACUUGACUGUGUGGAGCGCUACCCAGGACUUUUACUUUGAGGAAAUUAGAGUGUUUCAAGCAGGCAUACGCCUUGAAUACAUUAGCAUGGAAUAAUAAGAUAGGACCUCGGUUCUAUUUUGUUGGUUUCUAGAGCUGAGGUAAUGAUUAAUAGGGAUAGUUGGGGGCAUUCGUAUUUAACUGUCAGAGGUGAAAUUCUUGGAUUUGUUAAAGACGGACUACUGCGAANGNAUUUGCNAAGGAUGUUUNCAUUG
rnacentral:rRNA from 1 species